UGAUUUUAAGGUUAACAGAUAGGCAAUGG
rnacentral:piRNA from 1 species